GGUAGCGUGGCCGAGCGGUUCUAAGGCGCAGAUUUAAGGCGCCAGUCUUACCGAAAACGUGGUUUCGUAUCCCACCGCUGCCA